GACGGAGGAGGCAAGCGUUAUCCGGAAUUAUUGGGCGUAAAGGGUACGUAGGCGGCUGGUCAAGUCUGGGGUCAAAGGCCACAGCUCAACUGUGGAAAGGCCCUGGAAACUGACCGGCUAGAGUGAGGUAGGGGUUGCGGGAAUUCCCGGUGUAGCGGUGAAAUGCGUGGAGAUCGGGAAGAACACCUGAGGCGGAAGCGCGCAACUGGGCCUCAACUGACGCUGAGGUACGAAAGAUAGGGGAGCGAAUGGG
rnacentral:rRNA from 1 species